AGAAGAAGCGAUCUCCGAGCCUUUGAGCCUAAAUUCCGGAAAAAGAACAUGGCUCUUGGCCGAUUCGGGUAUUCUGAGAAAUCAGAUUGCCUCCUCGUGUUUGGAAAGGAGAUUAGAAACGGUAUAA
rnacentral:ncRNA from 2 species